UACAGAGACUGCAAGCGUUAUUCGGAUUCACUGGGCGUAAAGGGUGCGCAGGCGGCCAAGUGUGUGAGGCGUGAAAGCCCGGGGCUCAACCCCGGAAUUGCACCUCAAACUACAUGGCUAGAGCAUUGGAGAGGGUAGCAGAAUUCACGGUGUAGCAGUGAAAUGCGUAGAUAUCGUGAGGAAUACCAGAGGCGAAGGCGGCUACCUGGACAAUUGCUGACGCUCAUGCACGAAAGCGUGGGGAGCAAACAGG
rnacentral:rRNA from 1 species